GGAAUCCACACUGUAAUUCCAUCUGCUUAAUAGUUGUAUCCUGCCCUUUCCAAAUAUAGUUUGUUUCCCACCAAACGCUGUGGUUCUGUUAGAAAACACGCUUUUUUUGUAUCGAUAAAAAGUACUUUUUUUCUCGGAUUCGAGCAUUAAAACCACAUGUUUAAAGUGUCUCUGAGACGGAGACUAAUUACUGAUGACAGUAGAGGUUGGGUCACUCAUUCCUCAUGCUGAACUGGGCACGGCUAUGACUUUGUUGGACCCAAACAACAGUACAGUUCACAGAUUGAAAUGGCAGUGAUGGCACAAGAUGUCCCUGGAGGCAGAUAAAAACAGUUUUGUGGUUUCCAAGGAGAGAAGUACAUCCUGUGGCUUUCAGGGUGCUGAAGAGAAAGAGGAGAUCCCAGGGAUGGGAGAGGACAGUGUUCUGGAAAUGCUGAGCUACUCCAAAUUUACAGACCUGGAGACAUGGCUGUGUAUGCCUUCUACACUGCUGCCGAGAAGUUUGGAAUCAUUAUGUGCCACCUCUCAGUCCCUGACACCUAGUGAAACUGCAGACGCUGAGAAGAAACCCAGACCGCCGGAGGGGGACACCCCGUUCUUGUCACCACCCACAAUGGCACCUCAGUCAUCAAGGUCACCGUCACCCAUUCCUAUGGGGUCCCCAGUGCCCUCUUCGUUGGAUUCUUCAGGGAGCUCUGUCCAGGGAGGGGUUAGCGUCAGGAAGCGCCGGCGUCUGGCUGCGAGUCCUGGGGGACUGCGCUGGAAUUCUUCAGGGUUGUUGCAGCGGGACUAUGACACAGCUGAAACCCUGCCUGCUCCAGGGGCCAAGCGCAGCCCUGGCAGUGACACCAGCCUCCACACUGGCCUCUUGGGAGACUUGCAAAGAGCUACCCUGACGAAGAGUGUUUCUGUAGAUGACCGCCUGUUUCAGAAACAACACAAAGAGUCGCACAAACUACUUACACGCUUGGAAAGGGGCAAGAACAAGCUGCGAAAUAUCCAUGCCAACACAAAUGCUGCAUUCCUUGGAGGACGCCUCAUGUUUACCUCUCGGCUGGCUUCAGACUCGGUGUCCUCUCCUUUCCUCAGUGGUUUCUGGCAGCUGGCACAGGAUUCCUGCAUGUCUAUCAUUUUAAUCAAAAAUGCAGACCCACAGUCAGCCUCUCUGUCAAACACUGAAGCAGGAAUCACUAUGAAUAUCAGAUGAACCGCACAUUUUACUUGGAUUGAGUGCAGUGGAAUGCUUUUCUUUCUUUCCCUUUUUAUUUUGCUCCAGAGUACUUCCCAGAAAUAUCAAAAGGGGGCAAGCUUUCCCUCUUAGAACUCUCUGUUUCUAUGUCCUUUUUGCGAAACGUAUGGAUGUUGCGAUUUAUACCAUUAUUGCAUUUUUUAACACAUUUAACUGUAUAUUUCUGCAUUACACUGGGCAAAAAUAAUAAGGUAUUAAAUGGGCAUUGACCAUUUUGCAUUUUCCAAUAAUGCA
rnacentral:lncRNA from 1 species